rnacentral:misc_RNA from 2 species
UUAAGUUCAGCGGGUAACCCUACCUGAUCCGAGGUCAAACUUAGAGAGUAAGGUUUGACGGCAGGCCUCCACCGGGUCCCGAAGCGAGCUGUAAUACUACGCAGGGGGAGCCGCGGCAGGACCGCCACUUCAUUUCGGGGCCUACGGGGGAUAGCACGAGGCUUCCCGUAGUGCCCCAACGCCGGGCCGGAACAGCACCU